rnacentral:rRNA from 1 species
CCCUUAGAUGUUCUGGGCCGCACGCGUGCUACACUGAUGCAUUCAACGAGUCUAAAACCUGGUCUGAUAGGGCUGGGUAAUCUUUUGAAAGUGCAUCGUGAUUGGGAUAGAUGAUUGCAAUUCUUCAUCUUCAACGAGGAAUGCCUAGUAAACGCAAGUCAUCAGCUUGCAUUGAUUACGUCCCUGCCCUUUGUACACACCGCCCGUCGCUCCUACCGAUUGAAUGAUCCGAUGAAUAUCAUGGAUUGAGAGUACGAAUGGGUUCGCUCAUUUCUGCUGCUCGAGAAGUGAAGGAAAUCUUAUCAUUUAGAGGAAGGAGAAGUCGUAACA